CCCGGAGAUAUUAUGAUGGAAACGGAUAUGGAUUAUGACUCCAUCGCGAAGGCCGGUUCCAUGCUGGGUUCCGGGGC
rnacentral:tRNA from 1 species